rnacentral:lncRNA from 1 species
UGAUAUAGCUUGGACUCAUAAUGGUCUGGCAGGACGAGAUUUCAUAUGCAGUUGUGGGAGUCUUCCCAAUGUGCCUCUUAUAGGAGUUCAGGGUUGCAUCAAUUACAACCCGGUGCUUCUCAGGAGACAGAUGGGGUUUGCUGUGGAGGGUCCAGACGAGAUUUCAUAUGCAGUUGUGGGAGUCUUCCCAAUGUGCCUCUUAUAGGAGUUCAGGGUUGCAUCAAUUACAACCCGGUGCUUCUCAGGAGACAGAUGGGGU